rnacentral:rRNA from 1 species
GACGAACGCUGGCGGCGUGCCUAAUACAUGCGAGUCGAACGAACCGCGACUAGGUGCUUGCACUUGGUCAAGGUGAGUGGCGAACGGGUGAGUAACACGUGGGUAACCUACCUCAUAGUGGGGGAUAACAGUCGGAAACGACUGCUAAUACCGCAUAGGACAUAGGAUCACAUGAUCCAGUGAGGAAAGGUGGCGCAAGCUAUCGCUAAGAGAUGGACCCGCGGUGCAUUAGCUAGUUGGUAGGGUAAAGGCCUACCAAGGCGAUGAUGCAUAGCCGACCUGAGAGGGUGAUCGGCCACAUUGGGACUGAGACACGGCCCAAACUCCUACGGGAGGCAGCAGUAGGGAAUCUUCCGCAAUGGACGCAAGUCUGACGGAGCAACGCCGCGUGAGUGAAGAAGGUCUUCGGAUCGUAAAGCUCUGUUGUUAGAGAAGAACAGCGCAUAGAGUAACUGUUAUGCGUGUGACGGUAUCUAACCAGAAAGCCACGGCUAACUACGUG